UACGGAGGGGGCUAGCGUUGUUCGGAAUUACUGGGCGUAAAGCGCACUUAGGCGGGCUGGAAAGUCAGGGGUGAAAUCCCGGGGCUCAACCCCGGAACUGCCUUUGAAACUUCCAGUCUUGAGGUCGAGAGAGGUGGGUGGAAUUCCGAGUGUAGAGGUGAAAUUCGUAGAUAUUCGGAGGAACACCGGUGGCGAAGGCGGCCCACGGGCUCGAUACUGACGAUGAGGUGCGAAAGCGUGGGGAGCAAACAGG
rnacentral:rRNA from 1 species